rnacentral:rRNA from 1 species
UUCCGGUUGAUCCCGCCGGACCCGACUGCUACCAGAGUGGGACUAAGCCAUGCGAGUCAACAUAGCAAUAUGUGGCAUACGGCUCAGUAACACGUAGUCAACAUGCCCAGGGGACGUGGAUAACCUCGGGAAACUGAGGAUAAACCGCGAUAGGUCAUCACUUCUGGAAUGGGUAAUGACUUAAAUCUAUAUGGCCCCUGGAUUGGACUGCGGCCGAUCAGGCUGUUGGUGAGGUAAUGGCCCACCAAACCUGUAACCGGUACGGGCUCUGAGAGGAGGAGCCCGGAGAUGGGCACUGAGACAAGGGCCCAGGCCCUAUGGGGCGCAGCAGGCGCGAAACCUCUGCAAUAGGCGAAAGCUUGACAGGGUUACUCUGAGUGAUUUCCGUUAAGGAGAUCUUUUGGCACCUCUAAAAAUGGUGCAGAAUAAGGGGUGGGCAAGUCUGGUGUCAGCCGCCGCGGUAAUACCAGCACCCCGAGUGGUCGGGACGUUUAUUGGGCCUAAAGCAUCCGUAGCCGGUUCUACAAGUCUUCCGUUAAAUCCACCUGCUUAACAGAUGGGCUGCGGAAGAUACUAUAGAGCUAGGAGGCGGGAGAGGCAAGCGGUACUCGAUGGGUAGGGGUAAAAUCCGUUGAUCCAUUGAAGACCACCAGUGGCGAAGGCGGCUUGCCAGAACGCGCUCGACGGUGAGGGAUGAAAGCUGGGGGAGCAAACCGGAUUAGAUACCCGGGUAGUCCCAG